rnacentral:rRNA from 1 species
AUCCUGGCUCAGGAUGAACGCUGGCGGCGUGCCUAACACAUGCAAGUCGAACGAAGCACUUACUUACGAUUCUUUCGGGAUGACGAGUAUUUGACUGAGUGGCGGACGGGUGAGUAACGCGUGGGUAACCUACCUCACACAGGGGGAUAACAGUUAGAAAUGACUGCUAAUACCGCAUAAGCGCACAGUGCUGCAUGGCACAGUGUGAAAAACUCCGGUGGUGUGAGAUGGACCCGCGUCUGAUUAGCUAGUUGGUGAGGUAACGGCCCACCAAGGCAACGAUCGGUAGCCGGACUGAGAGGUCGAACGGCCACAUUGGGACUGAGACACGGCCCAGACUCCUACGGGAGGCAGCAGUGGGGAAUAUUGGUCAAUGGGGGAAACCCUGAUGCAGCAACGCCGCGUGAGGGAAGACGGUUUUCGGAUUGUAAACCUCUGUCCUCUGUGAAGAAGAAAGUGACGGUAGCAGAGGAGGAAGCCACGGCUAACUACGUG